AUUGAACGCUGGCGGCAGGCCUAACACAUGCAAGUCGAGCGGAUGAGUGGAGCUUGCUACAUGAUUCAGCGGCGGACGGGUGAGUAAUGCCUAGGAAUCUGCCUGGUAGUGGGGGAAAACGUUGCGAAAGGAACGCUAAUACCGAAUACGUCCUAGGGGAGAAAGCAGGGGACCUUGGGGCCUUGCGCUAUCAGAUGAGCCGAGGUCGGAUUAGCUAGUAGGUGAGGUAAUGGCUCACCUAGGCGACGAUCCGUAACUGGUCUGAGAGGAUGAUCAGUCACACUGGAACUGAGACACGGUCCAGACUCCUACAGGAGGCAGCAGUGGGGAAUAUUGGACAAUGGGCGAAAGCCUGAUCCAGCCAUGCCGCGUGUGUGAAGAAGGUCUUCGGAUUGUAAAGCACUUUAAGUUGGGAGGAAGGGCAGUAAGUUAAUACCUUGCUGUUUUGACGUUACCAACAGAAUAAGCACCGGCUAACUUCGUGCCAGCCGCCGCGGUAACAC
rnacentral:rRNA from 1 species